UGUGAUACCAACGCUCGGUGUGGCAACAUCAUUGGCUCGUAUUUCUGCCAGUGCUACCAGGGCUUCAAUGGAGAUGGACACUCUUGUUUUGACGUUGAUGAGUGUGCUGUGAACAACGGCCACUGUGAACACAACUGCACCAACGAGCCAGGAGGGUACAGCUGCCAGUGUGCCCCCGGAUACCAGCUGGACCAGGGUGGACGCAACUGCACAGAUGUGGACGAGUGCUUAACACUGAAUGGGACCUGUGAGCACGUUUGCAUCAACACUCUUGGAU